rnacentral:tRNA from 1 species
GGAUGGGUUCCCGAGUGGCCAAAGGGGGCAGACUGUAAAUCUGUUACGACACGUUUCGAUGGUUCGAAUCCAUCUCCAUCCA